rnacentral:rRNA from 1 species
GCUCUUUUAUAGGAGUCCGAGUUGUAAUUUUGAGAACUGUUUUCUGUGCUGGACCAUAUACAAGUCUGUUGGAAAACAGCAUCAUUGAGGGUGAUAAUCCCGUAGAUGAUAUGGACUACCAGUGCAAUAUGAUACAGUCUCUAAGAGUCGAGUUGUUUGGGAAUGCAGCUCAAAGAGGGUGGUAAAUUCCAUCUAAGGCUAAAUAUAGGUGAGAGACCGAUAGCAAACAAGUACCGUGAGGGAAAGAUGAAAAGAACUUUGGAAAGAGAGUUAACAGUACGUGAAAUUGUUAAAAGGGAAACAUUUGAAGUUAGACUUGUUAUUAUUGGUUCAGCUUCUCUUUUUUAAUUAGGAGUUUAUUCCAAUGGUUGACAGACCAGCAUCAAUUUUUGAGUGUUAGAUAAGGGUCUUGGAGAAUGUGGCAACUUUGGUUGUGUUAUAGCUCCUGGCUUGAUAUAAUGCUUAAGAUUGAGGAAC